AAUUGUUUUGAUUCAAAUAAUCAAAUUAUUACAGUACUGUUCCAAUUUUGUCUAUCAUUCUUGCAGGGGAUGUCGAUUAAUCGUGAAAGGAAUGCAUUAAAGGCGAAUAAUCGAGGAUAGUUUCGUGUGACAUAUGCCAAGUCUGGGCUAUUUUGGUCUCAAUGUUUCCUUCCUUCCCUUGUUAUAAGGAAGGCACAGGCGGGCGCGGGCAAAUUGAGCCUGGGCCUCCUGUGGUCAGAGAGAUGUUCACUCCUCGACAGUCAACAGUCAAUAAAGUCACGCGCGGAAUUAGGCGCUCAAUACCCAUGAUGCUUUGCGGCCUGCUGUCCAACCUCCUCUGUAU